ensembl:snRNA U2 U2 spliceosomal RNA
AUGGCUUCUCGGCCUUUUGGCUAAGAUCAAGUGUAGUAUCUGUUCUUAUCAUCUUAAUAUCUGAUUGGUCCUCUAUCCAAGGACAAUAUAUUAAAUGGAUUUUUGGAGCUGGGAGAUGGAAUAAGAGACUGCUCCGUCCACUCCAUGCAUAGAGCUGGUAUUGCAGUACCUCCAGGAAUGGUGCACCUCCA